AGCGAACGCUGGCGGCAGGCUUAACACAUGCAAGUCGAACGGGCUUCUUCGGAAGUCAGUGGCAGACGGGUGAGUAACACGUGGGAACGUGCCCUUCGGUUCGGAAUAACUCAGGGAAACUUGAGCUAAUACCGGAUACGCCCUUUUGGGGAAAGGUUUACUGCCGAAGGAUCGGCCCGCGUCUGAUUAGCUUGUUGGUGGGGUAACGGCCUACCAAGGCGACGAUCAGUAGCUGGGCUGAGAGGAUGAUCAGCCACACUGGGACUGAGACACGGCCCAGACUCCUACGGGAAGCAGCAGUGGGGAAUAUUGGACAAUGGGCGCAAGCCUGAUCCAGCCAGGCCGGGUGAGUGAUGAAGGCCUUAGGGUUGUAAAGCUCUUUUGUCCGGGACGAUAAUGACGGUACCGGAAGAAUAAGCCCCGGCUAACUUCGUG
rnacentral:rRNA from 1 species